GGGCCCGCACAAGCGGUGGAGUAUGUGGUUUAAUUCGAUGCAACGCGAAGAACCUUACCAGGGUUUGACAUCCUGCGAAUCUCUUGGAAACAGGAGAGUGCCUUCGGGAACGCAGUGACAGGUGGUGCAUGGCUGUCGUCAGCUCGUGUCGUGAGAUGUUGGGUUAAGUCCCGCAACGAGCGCAACCCACGUCUUUAGUUGCCAGCAUUUAGUUGAGGACUCUAAUGAAACUGCCCGCGUAAGCGGUGAGAAGGUGGGAUGACGUCAAAUCAUCACGGCCCUUACGUCUAGGGCUACACACGUGCUACAAUGGUUGGUACAGAACGAAGCAAGACCGCAAGGUGGAGCAAAUCGCUAAAGCAACCUCAG
rnacentral:rRNA from 1 species